ensembl:lncRNA
GAGAGGAGAGAGUGAGUGAGAGGGACAGAGAGGUAGCAGUCAGCAACAUGUAGCCUCGCCGAGUGGAGGAAAGGUCGAAACUGUGUGUGCGCGAUUCUUUGCUCUUUUCUUUUUUGUCGGGAGGGGUGAUAUGUUUCGCUUUCAUCCCGAGGACAUUAUCCCGCAACAUUAGAAUCGAUCAGGCUCUAUGCCGCAGGAAAUGUCCAGCGGAGGGAUGGACGGAUGGAUUGUGGUGCACGGAGAGAAGACGCGGAGAGCAAAAAGAGAAGAAAAAGAGUGCGGGGCUCCUGAAAACAGGAAAUAGAAGUCUUUCAGAUGCGUGAAACAACUAGAUAGGAGUGUGGAUAUGGAUUCCUCUCUUACUUAAAUGCUCACAGGGUCUCUUCUCCUCAUCAGGUGAAGCACUGUGAACCGCCGACCCCCUCACCACCCUCCCUCCUCUCCUCCUCCCCUCUUUCCCUAGAGGCACCACCCACUACCCUUAAAUCCCCAAACCCCACCUGCCAACACCUGCCAAACUCCCUCCGACAGCUGCAACUGGCCCCCCUUUUACCCCAUGGUGGCCCCAAGGCCCGCCCUCUCACUGCUAUUGGCUGUCCUGGCCUGUACGGGGCCCGCACGCCCCUCGCCCCCCCUGCUUCUCCGGCCCCGGGAGAGAGAGAGGGACUCAGGUGGUGUCAACAUCGCCGUGGUCCACUCGGGCUCCUCCCUGCUCCCGGAGACCGCGGUGGUGGGAGGCGCGGGGGUCGGGGAGCCGGG